CCAAACGUUAUGACCUCUCUGUGAUGGCUUC
rnacentral:piRNA from 1 species